rnacentral:rRNA from 1 species
CCUACGGGUGGCUGCAGUGGGGAAUAUUGGACAAUGGGGGGAACCCUGAUCCAGCCAUGCCGCGUGUGUGAAGAAGGCCCUCGGGUUGUAAAGCACUUUCAGGGAGGAAGAACGCCUGGUGGUUAAUACCCAUCAGGAAAGACAUCACUCACAGAAGAAGCACCGGCUAACUCCGUGCCAGCAGCCGCGGUAAUACGGAGGGUGCGAGCGUUAAUCGGAAUUACUGGGCGUAAAGCGCGCGUAGGUGGCUUGAUAAGCCGGUUGUGAAAGCCCCGGGCUCAACCUGGGAACGGCAUCCGGAACUGUCAAGCUAGAGUGCAGGAGAGGAAGGUAGAAUUCCCGGUGUAGCGGUGAAAUGCGUAGAGAUCGGGAGGAAUACCAGUGGCGAAGGCGGCCUUCUGGACUGACACUGACACUGAGGUGCGAAAGCGUGGGUAGCAAACAGGAUUAGAUACCCUUGUAGUC